UACGGAGGAUCCAAGCGUUAUCCGGAAUCAUUGGGUUUAAAGGGUCCGUAGGCGGUUUAAUAAGUCAGUGGUGAAAGCCCAUCGCUCAACGGUGGAACGGCCAUUGAUACUGUUAAACUUGAAUUAUUAGGAAGUAACUAGAAUAUGUAGUGUAGCGGUGAAAUGCUUAGAGAUUACAUGGAAUACCAAUUGCGAAGGCAGGUUACUACUAAUGGAUUGACGCUGAUGGACGAAAGCGUGGGGAGCAAACAGG
rnacentral:rRNA from 1 species